rnacentral:rRNA from 1 species
CUUCAUAAGGUGAAACCGCGAACGGCUCAUUAUAACAGCUAUAAUUUACUAGACCUUGAGCAACUACUUGGAUACCUGUGGUAAUUCUAGAGCUAAUACAUGCACCGAAGUUGUUCCUUGCGGAGCAAUGCAUUUAUUUGAGCAAAACCAGGCGGCUUCGGCCGUUUCUGUUGAUUCAGAAUAACUAAGCUGAUCGCAUGGGCUUGUCCCGGCGACGUGUCUUUCAAGUGUCUGCCUUAUCAACUUUCGAUGGUAGUGUACGUGACUACCAUGGUGUUGACGGGUAACGGAGGAUAAGGGUUCGACUCCGGAGAAGGGGCCUGAGAAAUGGCCACUACGUCUAAGGAUGGCAGCAGGCGCGCAAAUUACCCACUCUCGGUUCGAGGAGGUAGUGACGAAAAAUAACAAGGCCGUUCUCUUUGAGGCCGGCCAUUGGAAUGGGUACAACUUAAACCCUUUAACGAGUAUCAAUGAGAGGGCAAGUCUGGUGCCAGCAGCCGCGGUAAUUCCAGCUCUCAAAAUGCAUAGAACCAUUGCUGCGGUUAAAAAGCUCGUAGUUGGAUCUGUGCCGGCGACGUGGUCCGCCCUAACCGGCGGUACUGCGCUCGUCGGCUUUGGGCCGGUCUUCGGUCGGUCGCCUUCACUGGCGGCCGCUCGUGGCUGGCUGGUUUACUUUGAGCAAAUCAGAGUGCUCAGCACAGGCGUCUCGCCGGAAUGUUCGUGCAUGGAAUAAUAGAAAAGGAUUUCGGUUCUCUUUUAUUGGUUUUGUGAACUGAGAUAAUGGUUAACAGAGACGGACGGGGGCAUUCGUAUUGCUGCGUGAGAGGUGAAAUUCUUGGACCGCAGCAGGACGGA